GAAGUGUGCUCAACCUAUCCUGAACCUGAUUUGCUGAAGAAAAACUUCAUACAGAUCUGGCUUCUGAGUU
rnacentral:snoRNA from 1 species